rnacentral:rRNA from 1 species
GAUGAACGCUGGCGGCGUGCUUAACACAUGCAAGUCGAACGGAAAGGCUCCUGCUUGCAGGGGUACUCGAGUGGCGAACGGGUGAGUAACACGUGGGUGAUCUGCCCUGCACUUCGGGAUAAGCCUGGGAAACUGGCUCUAAUACCGGAUAGGACGAUGGUUUGGAUGCCAUUGUGGAAAGUUUUUCGGUGUGGGAUGAGCUCGCGGCCUAUCAGCUUGUUGGUGGGGUAAUGGCCUACCAAGGCGUCGACGGGUAGCCGGCCUGAGAGGGUGUACGGCCCCAUUGGGACUGAGAUACCGCCCAGACUCCUACGGGAGGAAGGAGUGGGGGAUAGUGCAAGAAGGGCGGAAGCCUGAUGCAGCGACGCCGGGUGGGGGAUGACGGCCUUCGGGUUGUAAACUCCUUUCGCUAGGGACGAAGCCCAAGUGACGGUACCUUGAGAAGAAGCACCGGCUAACUACGUG